rnacentral:rRNA from 1 species
GAUGAACGCUAGCGGCAGGCUUAAUACAUGCAAGUCGUGGGGCAGCAGGUCUGUAGCAAUACAGAUGCUGGCGACCGGCAAACGGGUGCGGAACACGUACACAACUUUCCUUUAAGUGGGGAAUAGCCCAGAGAAAUUUGGAUUAAUACCCCGUAACAUAGUGAAAAGGCAUCUUUUUAUUAUUAUAGCAGCAAUGCGCUUAAUGAUGGGUGUGCGUCUGAUUAGGUAGUUGGCGGAGUAAUAGCCCACCAAGCCUACGAUCAGUAACUGGUGGGAGAGCACGACCAGUCCCACGGGCACUGAGACACGGGCCCGACUCCUACGGGAGGCAGCAGUAAGGAAUAUUGGGCAAUGGACGCAAGUCUGACCCAGCCAUGCCGCGUGGAGGAUGAAGGUCCUCUGGAUUGUAAACUUCUUUUAUCUGGGAAGAAAUCCAUCUUUUCUUGGGUGGUUGACGGUACCAGAUGAAUAAGCACCGGCUAACUCCGUGCCAGCCGCCGCGGUAA